UACAGAGGUCUCAACCGUUGUUCGGAUUCAUUGGGCGUAAAGGGUGCGUAGGCGGCGGGGCAAGUCAGGUGUGAAAUCUCGGGGCUCAACCCCGAAACUGCACUUGAUACUGCCUUGCUCGAGUACUGGAGAGGAGACUGGAAUUUACGGUGUAGCAGUGAAAUGCGUAGAUAUCGUAAGGAAGACCAGUGGCGAAGGCGAGUCUCUGGACAGUUCCUGACGCUGAGACGCGAAAGCGUGGGGAGCGAACAGG
rnacentral:rRNA from 1 species